UAUAUUGCAGACUUGUACGGAAAUCUGUAGAUUGCAUUGUGGGGUGAAAUUUUGAAGGAGCUAAUUGGAGCCUUCGAAAAUGCGAGUGUUUUUAUUUAUGAGGUGAGAAAGAAGCGGGAAAUACGAUAUUUUUUGGUGAGAACUGUGAUGGGGGGCUAUUUUAGUAUUCUCUCGGAGUGUUCUCGUCAUGCUUCGAUGAAUUUCUUGGUGGUAGUUUUAGGUGAGUCAGGGAAUGGCAUCUGUUGCUGCUAGGGUUAGAAAUGACACUUCUGAUGUUUAAGUUUAUAGAUACAUCUGCAGCAGGUAUUGCUUUAUCUCUUGUACGUGCGUUUGUGGCAAGUAUCUUGGGCCAUUUGUAGGCCAUCUUGCCUUCAAAUGGUGCUGUUUUUCUCAAUUUUUUCUUGUUGUUGAGCAUCUGCAGAUAUUGUAGGUCCGCCCUGUGGUGAUUUUGUCACAAUAUAGAAGUGAAUAAAUAAUUGCGUCGGUCAAUGCAAGAUGAUAUAUUUCAUUUGUUGUUGAAGUUUUUUUAUAUGGACUUCUAUGAAGAAUUUGCAGUGCAUGCUUACAAUUAAUAUGUCUUCAGGCUUGGGUUUGGUAAAAGGAAUUGAACUUUUUUAGCGCUUUACUUUGGACAUUGCUUCUUAUCUACCUAGGCAGGUAUGACUUAAAUUCUCUCAACGGGAUUUUGGCUUCUUCUUUUGUAGUUGCAAGUGGCACAAAAGCCACUUUAAGUUGUUUUAACAGGAAAAAUGCUUUCGAUUGAUUUCUCAGCUGACAUUUAUGUGCAUUAUGAUGUGAUUCUUAUCUCAGUGUCACAACGUGCUUCUACAUUCUUUUGCAAUUUCUCAAGCUCUCACCUCAAGAGUCUUCACAAGAUCCCAUCUACCAUGUUCUGCUGCAGCAUUCUAGCAAAGGAGGUGAAGUCCAAAUGUCUGAGGAUUACACAUGCAGAUCUAUACCAGGUCCUCCACAUCUAAGGGACAUCUUUUACAGGAUGGGUCUCUCGGACAAGGACAUAGUGGCCUUAUCAGGGGCUCAUACACUGGGAAGGGCACACUAGGAAAGAUCUGGAUUUGAUGGUCCUUGGACUCAGGAACCCCUUAAGUUUGAUAAUUCCUAUUUUGUCGAGUUGUUGAAAGGGAAGCAGAGGGGCUGCUGAAACUGCCAACUGACAAGGCAUUGCUGGAAACUCCUGCAUUUCGCCCUUAUGUUGAGUUGUAUGCGAAGGAUGAGGAUGCAAUUUUCAGAGAUUAUGCAAUCUUGCAUAAGAAGCUCUCUGAACUGGGGUUCACGCCAAGUUCUUCAGGCAGCAAGACAGUAGCGAAUGGUGCCAUAUUGGCAGAAGGUGCUGUUGGAGUGGCAGUGGCUGCGGCUGUGGUGAUCUUGAGCUAGCGCAAGAAAAUGAAGCGAAUGCUGUUCUCUGAUUUCCCUUUGUACCUAGCAUAUAUUUUAGCGCUUAGUGCUGCCCGCCCCAUAUAUCUUCAUCCACAAUAAUGGUCAAAGCAUUGCCGGUGCUUGGAUGGAACAAGCCAGCAAACUCUUUGAAAGUCACAGGAAAAAUCUAUGCCCAUUUUCAACA